rnacentral:rRNA from 1 species
AUUGAACGCUGGCGGCAGGCCUAAUACAUGCAAGUCGAACGAGUGGCGGACGGGUGAGUAAUGUCUGGGAAACUGCCCGAUGGAGGGGGAUAACUACUGGAACCGGUAGCUAAUACCGCAUACCAUCGGAUGUGCCCAGAUGGGAGUAGCUAGUAGGUGGGGUUACGGCUCACCUAGGAGACGAUCCCUAGCUGGUCUGCGAGGAUGACCAGCCACACGGGAACUGAGGCGCGGGCCGGAGUCCUACGGGAGGCAGCGGUGGGGAAUAGUGCACAAUGGGGGAAACCUGAUGCAGCGGCGCCGCGGGGGGGAUGACGGCCUUCGGGUUGUAAACUCCUUUCACCAUCGACGCGGUAGAUGGAGAAGAAGCACCGGCUAACUACGUGCCAGCAGCCGCGGUAAUAC